GGGCUGACUGCUGGAGAGGAAGGAUGCCUAUUGCAGGCUCCAGCCUAGGAGACAUAGCAGCCGCUGACUGUGAAAACCGAAGGUGCUGAGAUUCCAGCAGAUGCCUUGGUACCUGUGGACACCACAGGGACUUCGUAGCCCCUGUGAACAGCCCUGGCAGAGGAACCCUGAAGCCGCCCAGACUAUGGAUGCAGGAGUCAUGGAAUUCUGCUCGGUUGAGCUGGCCCUAAUUGACCACAGAGGGACAGAGUGCCAGAACUCGAGUCUCCCCGGCUCCUUCUGCUGCGCACAAACCUUUGAGAAACAACUGAAUGAGACAGCUCUACCAGACCAAGGCUAGCUGCACAAAUUCCAGCCAACUGCUCUGGAGAAUAUUAUUGAGUCGAGAAAGAACAAGGAGCAAUAGUUACAUACAACUUGUCAAGAGCUGCUGUUGACAUAAGCAGUGCCGACUGGAGCCACCAGGGUCCCUUUUCGACUGGGCAUUACAGUAAAAAAGCAGAUGCCUGGCAACCCUAUCUUCACACUCAGCACAGUGGGAGACUUCUUUUGGAGCCUGAUCCUAAAGGGUACUGAGCCCCACCUUAGAGGGACAGUUUUCCUGAUUUCUGAGAGGCUGAGCAAUGUGUGGGCCCUGACAUGGAGAUGGUUAUUGCUGUGGUCCUUGUAUACCCAGCUAGCGAGAGAAUAAAGAACAUUCCAACAGAACAGUUGUAUCCACAACAAGAUUUUUGGAAGGACAGUACAAAACUUCUGUACAAUAAGUACUCCCUUCUUUCUAGUUUAAAUUUUUGGUGUAGUGACAGUUAAAAAUAUAUUCUCCACAGCUGCAGUGGAGAAAUGUUGCAGAAAAUUGUGGGCAUCGGCAUUAAAAUCCAUUGUUACCAGUAGUGCAGAAAUAACUAAAAAGAAGGGCGAUGUUCAACUUUCAGCCUGGGAGAAGCAGAGGCCUACUGUAGCUUUGCCACCUAUAUUGUUCUCCCUGAUUCUGGGUUGAUCUAGGGUCUGGAGAGGCCCCGCAGCAUAACUUAAGCAGCCCUAGGGGCCUCUCAAAGUUACAGCAGCCUUCCUGGGACUACCCUAGGGGCUGCAGCAUUGCAUAGGAUCUCUGCAGUGGUGUGGCCUUGCCCCUGACAUGCCUCUACUUCACCUAGCCCACUCCCACCCAAAAAUGCCCCAGGACUUGUGAGGGGGUCCUUAGAAAGCAGUCCAUCUGGCUGUCAUUUGUAGUGCCUGCCUCCAGGGAAUUCUCCCUCAGCCAGAACUGAGGCUUUUAUAGCCUCUUUACACUGCUCUGGCUCUUUCACCUAGCAUGAAGAGGCUGUGGUGGCGGGUGGGGAGUUCAUCUCAAAAUUAUGCUGCUUGCAUCAUCCUAGUUAAGAGUAUUAAAGUGAAUGCCCAUAAACUCACACUCACCCACAAAUUCUGACCAACAGGAUAAGUCUAAAAAUGAAAACCAGUGCAUGAAUAAAUACAUAAAAUGUGUUUGUUUGUAAUAGUUAGUUUGCUUUUUCUUCUUACCCUUAUACUCAGCAUCAAAAGUCCCCCCCCACAGACUGUUUUGUAGAGGUCCAUUUGUGUGUGCAGUUACACAU